CCGAAUCCAAACGAGUUUGGACACAGAAAUUCAAUACAGAAUACCUAACGCACGAAACCCGGGCAUGGCCUUUUUUUUAUUUCCCUGAGCUUUUACAUGUGUGCUUCGUGAAAAGGCAUUGAGAGGAAAGAAAAAUGUCGGAAUCCCGCCCAGUGACUGUAAAACCAGAAAUCGGAACAGCAGAGAGCUCCGUAGAAGAGAACUCGAACUCGAACUCGAACUCGAAGAGACCUCCUAAGUUUGUCGUUCUAGCCGACCUCAACGUCGACCCUCCUGAAGCCGACGAGGACGAUUCCAUCCACGUUUCCGCCCCUGACCUCACCAGGUUGGCUAAUGGCGAGAGCAGUCAAGAUAAGUGUACGGUAAUGUGCAAUGACAGUGAGGCCAUGGAAGGUGAGGUUAAACGUUCAAACAAAUUGGGUAAAUGUCGUUCAAGAAAUAAUAAGGCAGAUUGCUCUCUUGAUUGUGGAGGGGAUGCUGAUGGUGAUCAGCAUGGUCAAGGGGUUCCUUCUUCACGUGAGGAAAAAGUUAGCAGCCUUAAAACCGGGUUAGUUCAUGUUGCAAGGAAGAUGCCCAAAAAUGCUCAUGCUCAUUUCAUACUUGGCCUUAUGUACCAAAGGUUGGGUCAACCUCAGAAGGCAGUUUCGGCAUAUGAGAAGGCAACGGAGAUCUUGCUCCGCCCUGAGGCAGAGAUCGAUAGGCCAGAUCUUCUUUCAUUGGUUCAAAUUCAUCAUGCACAGUGUUUAAUAGUAGAAAGUUCAGUGGAUAGCAAUUCAGAUAAAGAAAUUGAACCCAAAGAGCUUGAGGAGAUUCUUUCUAAACUGAAAGAAUCAAUGCAAUCAGAUAUUAGACAGGCCGCUUUAUGGAAUUCCCUAGGCUUGAUACUUCUGAAAAGUGGUCGUCUACAGAGUGCUAUUACGAUUCUAUCAUCUUUGUUGGCAGUUGCCCCUGACAAUUAUGAUUGCCUUGGAAACCUUGGUAUUGCUUACCUUCAAAAUGGAAACUUGGAUCUAUCAGAAAAAUGUUUUCAGCAGUUACUCCUAAAGGAUCAAAAUCAUCCUGCUGCCUUAAUAAACUAUGCUGCCCUUAUUUUAUGUAAAUAUGGAUCGGUUGUAGCAGGUGCUGGCGCAAAUGCUGGUGAAGGUGCGUCCUUAGAGCAGGUUACAGCUGUCAAUGUUGCAAAGGAGUGUUUGCUAGCAGCAUUAAAAAUAGAUCCAAAAGCUGCACAUAUAUGGGCAAACCUUGCCAAUGCAUAUUUUGUGAUGGGUGAUCAUAGAAGUUCUGGCAAGUGCUUGGAGAAGGCAGCAAAGUUGGAGCCCAAUUGCAUGUCUACGCGAUAUGCUGUUGCAGUUCACCGAAUUAAGGAUGCAGAAAGGUCUCAAGAUCCUAGUGAACAGCUUUCUUGGGCUGGAAAUGAGAUGGCUUCUAUAAUAAGAGAUGGAGAUUCUGUUCUGCUUGAUCUUCCAGUGGCAUGGGCAGGGCUUGCCAUGGUUCACAAAGCACAACAUGAGAUUACUGCUGCAUUUGAAACUAAGCAGACUGAGUUGUCGGAGGUGAAAGAUCGUGCUGUUAACAGCCUAAAGCAGGCCAUUGCAGAGGAUCCAGAUGAUGCUGUGCAGUGGCACCAGCUUGGCCUUCAUAACCUCUGCACUCGACAAUUUAAAGCAUCACAGAAGUACCUGAAAGCUGCAGUAGCACGUUUUAAAGAGUGCGGCUGUGCAUGGUCUAACCUUGGUAUCUCACUUCAACUAUUAGAGGAGCCAUCACAAGCUGAAGCAGUGUACAAGCGGGCCUUGGCAUUGGCAACAACAGAGCAAGCUCAUGCUAUAUUUUCCAACCUUGGGAAUCUGUACCGCCAGCAAAAACAAUAUGAGCGUGCAAAAGCGAUGUUUACGAAGUCACUUGAACUGCAGCCUGGUUAUGCUCCUGCAUUCAACAACUUGGGUCUCGUGUUUGUUGCAGAGGGUCGCUGGGAGGAAGCGAAAUAUUGUUUCGAAAAAGCUUUCCAGGCAGACCCAUUGCUAGAUGUAGCCAAGUCCAACAUGGUUAAAGCAGGGUCCAUGUCAAGAUUGUGUGAUGGCUUGUCGUUAUGUCAUAUUCAAGAUUAAUUAUCUACUCGAUUAGGGUAUCGAAGGGAAAGGAUGUGAACAGACAAUUUUGAAGUUUCAGAGAAACUGAAAGAUAGAAUUGUUGCAUGUGAGAUGCAUGGACGAGAAAUUGAAUUAGAAGGAUUCUAAGGCAGCGAUCAUUACCCUGUUACGCUUGAGCUAGAAGUCGGUGAAUGUAUUAAAUGGAAAUCUGUAAUAUUUGUAGCAAAGCACCAAUUACAUCUGCACUUGGAAAAUCAAUUGGGAUUAGUGGUUAA